CUAAGCCGGAACUUCGAUAAAUCAUAACUUCCUCAUACGAAGUCAGAUUUGGGCGUUCUAUAUAUAUUCGGAAACCUCGUUUCAACUACUACAACAUUAACCAAAGAUAUUAAGUUUAUUUUACACUUAAAUUUUGACGCUUAUUUUUAUUCUUAAUUAAUCAGACCACAUAAUUAAGCAAUUAAGCACAAAACACAUAAUACUCAAAUAAUACAUUCUUAUUAUUUCAAAACGGGUUACAAAGGUUAACCUAGACUAUUAUAUUGCUAAAAAUGGCAAGCCCGGAAACACAGGCGUUACAAUUCUCUCCACCUUAGAAUGAUUCCGUCCCCGGAAUCACACAUCAACAAACAAAUGCGGAUAGCGACCCAUCAUGUCACUCUCCGUCUCCCAGGUGAGAUUCGGCCCAUUCGUGUGUUUCCAUCGGACAAGCACUAACCCAACCAUCUUGCGUCGCAAUUUCUUAGUCUUUCGGUCAACAAUUGCCUCUGGUUCUUCAAUCAACCUUUUGUUCUCAUCAAUUCUCAAUUCAGAAAUUGGAAUUAUGUCGGGAACUUCUCCCGUGAACUUCCUCAAAUAACACACAUGAAAAGUGUUGUGAAUUCCAUUCAGUUCUUCGGGUAAUUCGAGCUUGUAAGCUUGGUUCCCAAUCCUCUGAAGAACUUUAAACGGUCCAAUAAACCUUGGACUCAACUUUCCCCUUUUACCAAAUCUUAUAAGUCCCUUCCACGGCGAGACUUUAAGCAAAACCGAAUCCCCAACCUCAAAAGUCAUCGGUCUUCGCUUCUUGUCAGCAUAGCUCUUUUGACGAUCCUGAGCUGCUAACAUUCUUUCCCUAAUUAUUUUCAACUUUUCAGCAGUUUGAUGAACCAACUCCGGUCCCAUAAACUGCUUUUCCCCAGCCUCAAGCCAACAAGACGGCGUACGACACUUCUGUCCAUACAAAGCUUGGUAAGGUGCCAUCUUAAUGCUCGAGUGGAAACUAUUAUUAUAGGAAAAUUCUACCAACGGUAAAUGUUCAUCCCAAUUACCUAGGAAUUCCAGAGUACAUGCUCUCAGCAUAUCUUCAAGUGUUUGUAUCGUUCGUUCGCUCUGACCAUCAGUCUGCGGAUGGUAAGCUGUACUUAAACACAACUUGGUACCCAAUUCCUCUUGUAGACUUUUCCAAAACCUCGAUGUGAAACGGCUAUCACGAUCCGACACAAUCGUUAACGGAACACCGUGAAGCCUCACAAUUUCCUUCACGUAAGAAUUCGCAAGCUUCUCCAUAGACCAUUUCUCCCUGGCCGCUAUGAAAUGCGCACUCUUAGUGAAUCGAUCAACGACCACCCAAAUCAUGUCGUGACCAUUCUUUGUUCUGGGCAGUUUAGUGACAAAAUCCAUAGCAAUGUCUUCCCACUUACCCAUAGGCACAGGCAAAGGUUCUAAACUCCCGUACGGUUUCUGAUGUUGUGUCUUGACUCUCGCACAAGUCACACACUCGGCCACAUACUUUGCAACAUCAAGCUUCAUCGUCGGCCACCAGUAGUAGGGUUUCAGGUCCCUAUACAUUUUAGUGCUACCCGGAUGAAUCGAGUACAUGGUCUUGUGAGCUUCUUCCAUCAGAAGAUCUCUGACUCCUCCUGUCUUAGGUAUCCAAAUCCGAUCUUGGAACACCUUCAGUCCAUGACUGUUUACACCGAACACCAACGUUUUGCCCAAACGUUCCUCCUUUCUGUCAUUCUUCUCAGAAGCUUCGCUCUGAGCUUUCUUUAUACUUUCCAAAAUAGUUGAGACAACUUCAAUUCUCAACGCUCUUGGCCUUUUCCUUUCGGGAUUGACUUUCCGACUGAGAGCAUCAGCAACAACAUUAGCUUUACCGGGGUGGUAAAGUAUCUCGCAGUCAUAGUCUUUAAGUAAUUCUAGCCAGCGUCGUUGCCUCAUAUUCAAUUCUUUCUGAUUAAAGAGGUAUUGGAGACUCUUAUGAUCAGUGAAAAGUUUGCACUUCGUGCCAUAGAGGUAAUGCCUCCAUAUUUUCAGAGCGAAAACUACCGCUGCCAACUCCAAAUCAUGAGUCGGGUAAUUCUUUUCAUGCUCUUUCAGCUGUCGAGACGCAUAUGCUAUCACCUUUUCUCUUUGGGUCAAAACACAACCCAAUCCAACACCAGACGCAUCGCUAUAGACAGCGAAGUCUUCAACUCCAUCGGGUAGAGAAAGUAUCGGUGCCUCGCAUAGCUUCUUCUUUAGCUUCUCAAAUGCUUCCUUAUGCUUCUCACCCCAAGCAUAAGUAGCUCCUUUGUGGGUCAAAGCUGACAAUGGACUAGCGAUCGAAGAAAAGCCUUGGAUAAACCUUCGGUAAUAUCCGGCUAAUCCUAAAAAGCUUCGAAUCUCCGUGGGACUUUUCGGUUGUUCCCACUUCGUCACAGCUUCGAUCUUCGCUGGAUCAACCAUUAUCCCUUCUUGGUUGACCACGUGACCCAAGAAUUGGACUUCACGAAUCCAAAAAUCACAUUUGGAGAACUUAGCAUACAGCUUCUCCUUCUUCAAGACUUCUAACACUUCUCGCAAGUGUCUGCCAUGCUCCUCCUGGCUUUUCGAGUAAAUCAGAAUGUCGUCUAUGAACACUAUCACGGAUUUAUCAAGGAACGGGUUACAAACCCUAUUCAUCAAAUCCAUGAACGCUGCUGGAGCAUUGGUUAGUCCAAACGACAUAACCAAGAACUCGUAGUGUCCAUAUCUAGUUCUGAAUGCAGUCUUCUCGAUAUCUUGCUCUCUUACUUUUAGCUGAUGAUAUCCUGACCUAAGAUCGAUCUUCGAGAAAUAGCUCGAACCUUGCAAUUGAUCAAACAGGUCAUCAAUCCUCGGCAACGGAUAUCUAUUCUUUAUUGUUGCCUUGUUCAGCUCUCUGUAAUCGAUGCACAUUCUCAUACUUCCAUCUUUCUUCUUUACAAAUAACACCGGAGCUCCCCAGGGCGAUGAACUAGGUCUAAUGAAACCUUUGUCCAAUAACUCCUGAAGUUGCAUCAUUAGCUCCUUCAUCUCCGUCGGUGCUAAUCGAUAAGGUGCUUUUGCAAUUGGCGUGGUUCCUGGCAACAAGUCAAUACGGAAUUCCACUUGUCGAUCAGGCGGUAAUCCAGGAAGAUCUUCGGGAAAUACUUCCGGAUAAUCACACACCACUGGAAUAUUCUGCAUCACCUUCUUUUCCUUCUUAGCAUCAAUCACGAAUGCUAAAUACGAUGUACACCCCUUGGUCAAACAUUUUCUGGCUUUCAUCAAUGAAAUGAUUCCAGAAUUCACUCUGCGUUUAUCUCCAUACACCAUAAACGAAUCUUUCCCAGGCGGGUUUACUUUGACUAUUUUCUUCUUGCAUAAAAUUUCGGCGUCGUUGGCGCUAAGCCAAUCCAUUCCCAAUACGAUGUCGAAACCAUUAAGUUCGAUAGGCAAUAAUUCCUCGUGGAACUUAUUCCCAUUCAGAUCAAUUAAGAUGUUUUUCAUGCGAUAGCUAACAGGUACAAACUUGCCACUAGCAACUUCGACUAAUAAAGCAUUAUCUAGUCUAACAACAGGCAAAGCUAGCUUUCUACCAAAUUCAUGCGAUAUAAAGGAGUAGUUGGCUCCAGAAUCAAAUAAAAUUUGGGCAGGCAAUUCGUUAACGAGAAAGGUACCUGAAGCGACAUCAGCUUCAUCUUUAGCAGCUUCCAGUGUCAUCUGGAAUGCUCUCGCCUUUGGCUUUGGCGGAAUGUUGGGUCUAGCUGCCUCCUUCUUCUUCGGGCAGUCCCUCGACAUAUGACCCUCCUCACCACAACCAUAGCAAACUUUCUUUGUGAGGGUACACUCAUUGGCAUAGUGCCCUGGCUUUCCACACUUGUAGCAUGUGUUCGCCACCUCACAUCUUCCAUGAUGCUUCUUCUUACAUUUGUCGCACCAUUUCGCUUCACCUCCACCUCCCCUCGAACCAGACUUCGAGAACUUGUUUUUCUUGUUGGACCCUGAAGUUCCAUCGAACUUCCUCUUUUCUCCAACAUCUAUUCUUUCCAGACCCUUUUCCUUCUGCUGGGCCUCCACAUUCUUAGCUGCACGAACAGCCGUUUUCAGAGUGGUUGCCAUUUUGACUGUCGGACCAAAGUCAGCAGGCAGUCCGUUAGCAAACCUCUCAAUCUUGGAGAGUUCCGUCGGCACUAGGUACGGAAACAACUUCAUCUUCUCAGUAAAUGCAGUAGCAUAGUCAUCUAUGCUCAUCUUCCCUUUCUUCAAGUUUUGGAACUCAUUGUUCAGAUCAAUCAGAUCUAUCUCUGAACAAUACUGCACCCUUAGCUGUUCCAAGAACUCCUCCCAUGACAUUUUCAGGGCUUCUCCUCGUGGCAUAGUAUCUGCCAACAACUUCCACCAACUCAAGACUCCAGUCUUCAGUUGUCUAACCGCAAAGACGGUCUUCUGUUUGUUGCUACAGUCGCAACUUUCAAAUACCAUCUCCAUUUCGGAGAUCCAAUCCAUUAUCUCAACAGGCUUUGGGCUCCCAGAAAGACUUGGCGGUUUGGCGCCCAAGAAAUUCUUGUACAUACGCCCAUCCUUGUUGUUUCUCCUUUCCGGAUCGUUCCUUCGUUCCUCUUGAGUCCCAACUUGACUCACCAUGCGACUAUUGUUCCCUUCCUCCGAUUGCUCGGGAAUCAAUUCCGGUUCCUCAAUAGGUAUGAUAGGUUCAUCCCUAUUAUUAUGCAACAUUUGUCGCAUCUCCUCCCUUUGUUCGGCUAGCAUAGCCCGAAUCAUGGCUUGCACCGCAGCCAUUGUUAUUGGUUCUGGUGCUGCUGCUACAACAGGUAUUUGCUCAAUCACUGGCGGUUGAUUCCUGUUUUCAUCCGCGUUUCCAACGCCACUCCUUGUUCUCACCAUUUUUGAUCUACACACCGAAUAAGGUGAAAUUAGAUCCUCAUUCACGAUAGAUAUUCAAAUCAUCCUUAUCACUCCGAAACGUUUACAUGCUAGUUCUAAUAACGUAGGCAUACGCUUAGAAUCCUACACACAUAAGGUUUCCAGAUCCGGUCGGCAACAGACCGUAGAUCCGAACAAAUAAUAUCAUAUAUGGCAACAUAUAACAUUUAGCACAUAAAACAUUUUAGGCAACUUUCCUAAAAUAAACUAGUGCUCGUGUCUAAAAUCCAACAGACACACAUCUCAUCAUUCCAUUUAGCAUUCUAAGUUUAAGUCUAGAAAUCCUACAAAUUCCUAGUUCGCUUAAACUAAUGCUCUGAUACCAACUGUGACAUCCCCAAAAUCUCGGCCAGAAAAGACCGAUUUUCAUUUAUGCUUUUAAAUAUUUUCAGAGUAAAUCCUUUUGAUUUGAAAGAGUUGCGGAAUUUGUUCCCAAAACAAAACAUGAUAAAAUAAUAUUUAUCAAAGCAUUUCAUCAAGAGAUGCAUUUCAUUAUAUAAUCAAAACUCGGGAUGUCAUGUUCCGAUACAGACCAUAAAGCAUAAACGAUAAACAUUACAAGUCAUUCAACAAAUAUAUACAUAUACAGACUUGUAAACAAAACAACAAGAUGAUCCAUCCAUCUUACGCCCUUGUGCCACUUCCUGUAAUACAAAUAAAACUGAGUGGGUCAGGCUUGGGAGCCUGGUGAGCAUAUAGGGUUUUCAACCCACAAUAAAUAAGUUAUAUUUAAUUUCACCAACCAAUCACUAUCCCGAUUACCCAUUCCCGUUAUCCUCACUUUACGUCCCUAAAACAACUAUCUCAAGGGACCUAAUCUAGGAUUUUCAUCGGGACGGACAUCACUGCGAAGGGGUUUCCUCAACAAUAGAUAUCCUAAAGGCAACCAUGAGGGGGAUAGAGUACACCGGUGAACACAUCGUUCACAACACCUACAGGUUAUGAACCUGCUAGCGUUCCACUGGACUGUCUAGAAAGAGUCCGUGGUCGUUAUCCAUACUCCGCUGAAUAACUAGAUCAACAACAACAACAACAUCGAGGCCUCUCAUCUGUUUAUUACACACCAACUAUCUACCCAUGUUCUACCCAACAUAUUAGUAGAUAAAAAUAUAUAUUUUCAUACGUAGUUUAAAGAAAACCUGUAUAGCAUGCUUUAAUCAACACAUAUGUCACAUAACAGAUGAGGCACACACACAUAACACAUAUCUCAUAAAGAAAUAAGCAGAUCUAUAAGAUAGAAGAGAGUGAAUACUCAUUCACACAUAACACAACCAAAUAUAUACACAUAGCACGUAUUUUUAUAUAAAAUACUUCGUAUUAUUGUAUUAGAAGAAAUAACUACACACUCACUUGAUCAGAAGACGAUCCGACAGCACUACGGCUUAUAGAAGUAGUAAUCCACAGCAGAUCUGGAAGAUCUCCUCGAAAAUCGAACUUCUCGCGGGCAGAGCUUCGACUCGGGAACCGCGCUUCUCGGGAUCUUCGGGAUCUCGGGACUUGCCUCGGGGCUAGAGUAUGAUACCGGGGCUUCGGGGUAGCUUCGGCACGAAAAACGAUGCAAAAGACUAGAGAGAAGAGAAGAAAAUGAACAAGAAAUGAGGCUGCCUUCGGAUCCUUUAUAUAGAGGCUGGAACCUCGGAGUACGCGGGGCGUACAGGCGUACGCAGCGCGUACGCGUCCGAAAUCGUCAUUGCAUGCGUCAUCCGAAGUGUCGACACUAUCGGAGUUACGCGAUAGCGUAACCUCGUACGCGGGGCGUACUCCGGAUUACACCGGUGACACGGCUUCGGAUAAUGCCUCCGAUUUUGAAUUAAAUAAAAAUAUAAAAUGAUUAAUAAACUUCGGAAAUUCAUAACUUCUUCAUACGAACUCCGUUUUCGACGUUCUUUAUAUCCACGCGAAGGUGAGACCACGCUCUACGACUUUCGUUUAGACUCCGUCGGCUAAUUUUGACUUUAUUUUUAUUAAUUAUUUUUAAUAGGCCGCGACAGAAACUUUCGUUAUAAAUUCAUAACUUCUUCGUUUGACGUCCGUUCUCGCCUAACUUUUUAUCGCUUCGAUACCAACAAUGAGAUCUUCGAUUCUCAUUUAGAUUGCUUCGGCUAACAACCGCUCGAUCUCAAAUCGAGUAUAACAGGCUGUAUACCGCUAAGCCGGAACUUCGAUAAAUCAUAACUUCCUCAUACGAAGUCAGAUUUGGGCGUUCUAUAUAUAUUCGGAAACCUCGUUUCAACUACUACAACAUAGAUCAAAGAUAUUAAGUUUAUUUCACUCUUAAAUUUUGACGCUUAUUUUUAUUCUUAAUUAAUCAGACCACAUAAUCAAGCAAUUAAGCACAAAACACAUAAUACUCAAAUAAUACAUUCUUAUUAUUUCAAAAC
rnacentral:lncRNA from 1 species